GGGGGUGACAUGGCUUCGACGGGAGCAGUCUGCCAUAGGCUGCGUGCCGGCUUGAGGAACGCCGUAAAAACUCCUCAAAAAAAUAGACGCAAACAAUACAGAUUACCGACCGGCUUACGCUGUAGCGGCGUAAGUAACCGAACUUCCGGUCCCUCGCGCCAAGCCCUGCCCUCUGGGCUUGGAUAUUGCGGGGUCAUCCUUUAGAGGGCUUGGAUCGCGGCUGGCCCGCGCCGCGAUCGACGCAUAGGGCUGGAUCGGCGAGUAGCUUCGGGCGCUGAGCUACCGCCGAUCGAGAUCGAUCAGCGCUACUACGCACGUAGAGGCCUAUGGUGGGUUGUUUCCGGACUCGGGUUCGAUUCCCGACACCUCCACCA
rnacentral:tmRNA from 1 species